UGUAAACGAUGCCAGCUAGCGAUCCGCCGGCGUUUCAUUAACGACCCGGCGGGCAGCUUCCGGGAAACCGAAGCUUUUCGGU
rnacentral:rRNA from 14 species